rnacentral:misc_RNA from 1 species
CGAAUUUUGUGGAUUAUUAUUUUUAGCUUGUAUUUCUCUUUUUUUUUAUUUUUUAUUACUAUUGAAUGAUGGGGAUUUGAUUUAAUUUCAGCAGAUGGCUUCAAAACCCAAAAUCUAUCAGUUUGAUGAAGUUGUAAAGCACAAGGAUAGAUACGAUUGUUGGCUUAUAAUCCAUGGGAAGGUCAGUUCUCAAUUUCUCGUUCAAUUGUCUUUAGUUGACUUUUUUUCUUCAUUUAUAUAGAAUAUCUGGUGAACUCUACUUGCAAUCUUCUGCUCUGCUCUGCUCUCAUAGUUGCUUUUCAUCUAAAUUAGAUCGAGUCGCAGAGCUACAGAGCUAGAUCUGCGGUUAAAUUACGUUUCAAUUAGAGUUUUCUUUCAUCUAGAAGGGCAAUAACAAAGAAAUCAUAGGAACAGCAAGUAAAAAUUGAUUCUUUACAAUAGGAAAUGAUCUAUGUGGAAAAAAUUUGUAUUUUGAUAUUAAUUAAUCUUAAACUGCUCUAUCAGGUGUACGAUGUAACCCAUUUUCUGGACGAACACCCUGGAGGGGAAGAAGUGUUGGUUGCAGCUACUGGUAAGAUUGCAAUUCUGUAAACCAACCAAGCUCACUAGUCAGUAGUUAGUUUUUUACCGCUGGAUUUCGUUCUUAAAUGGGUUAUUAAUCAAGAACAUUCAUUGCUUAACAUGACUUAAAUUAAUCAAAUAUCAUCUGAAAUUCCGCAGAGAAAGAUGCAACUGAUGAUUUUGACGAUGUUGGUCACAGCUCCUCGGCAAAAGAGCUGAUGAACAGGUACUAUAUCGGUGACAUUGAUGUCAAAAGCGUUCCACCCCCUGGAAAGAAGUACACUCCUCCCCCAAUUAAUCCUCCAAAAGCAAUAAACAAGUACUAUGCAAUCUUGGCGAAACUAUUACAACUCUUGUUACCGCUGCUGAUCCUGGGUGGAGCAUUUGCGGUGCGAUCAGCAAUAAAAAAGGACUAGUAUCUUUGUGAUAAUUUUUCCCUUGGAGGAAUGACUAUACAAGUCUUAGAACGCAUUUUGUUGUUUCGACUGUUCUGCUUAUCAGCAAAUCUCUGUAUUUUGUUUCUAAAUUCUAAUAAAAUUGGGCUUCUUCCUUCACGCUAUAUUUUGCAAGUUAGUACUUCCUCCUUUGUUGGCCAAAAAACAGAAAGAAAAUCAUCUUUCUUGCAAAGAAAAUCAUCUUUCUUGCUUGUUAAUAUUGACGCGUUCUCGAAUUUCACUACUUUACGAUGGUGCUUGAUCACUGCGGCAAAUAGUUAGCCAGACAUCUCUCAAUCAUCAUCUCAGGAUUGGAAGAUGUGCUUGCACGAAUCUCAUCUAAGGACCAAUGAUAAGUGGGUAUAUUUACCCUGCAAGUGAAGGACCCUUCUCUCGAGUGGGAUUUUGUACAUGAAUUUUCCAAAAUUAUUGGUUCGGUCCGCCCAACGGCUAAUAAAAUCCUCUAAUGACCAUGGCUUUCUUUGUUGAAUUGCGCUUUGAAGCCACUAAUUUGCAGUUGUGUCAAUUUUGGCAUUCGGUUACCUCCUUUAUUGAGGAGCUAAGCCAUGAUUCUAGCUUUGUUGGGAUCCCAUUUCUACUCAAAUCUUAGUUUAAGGAUGUGUAUAAUGACUCAU